rnacentral:rRNA from 1 species
GACGAACGCUGGCGGCGUGCCUAAUACAUGCAAGUAGAACGCUGAAGGAGGAGCUUGCUUCUCUGGAUGAGUUGCGAACGGGUAAGUAACGCGUAGGUAACCUGCCUGGUAGCGGGGGAUAACUAUUGGAAACGAUAGCUAAUACCGCAUAAUAGUAGAUGUUGCAUGACAUUUGCUUAAAAGGUGCAAUUGCAUCACUACCAGAUGGACCUGCGUUGUAUUAGCUAGUUGGUGGGGUAACGGCUCACCAAGGCGACGAUACAUAGCCGACCUGAGAGGGUGAUCGGCCACACUGGGACUGAGACACGGCCCAGACUCCUACGGGAGGCAGCAGUAGGGAAUCUUCGGCAAUGGACGGAAGUCUGACCGAGCAACGCCGCGUGAGUGAAGAAGGGUUUCGGAUCGUAAAGCUCUGUUGUAAGAGAAGAACGAGUGUGAGAGUGGAAAGUUCACACUGUGACGGUAUCUUACCAGAAAGGGACGGCUAACUACGUG